rnacentral:rRNA from 1 species
GAUGAACGCUAGCGGCAGGCUUAAUACAUGCAAGUCGAGGGGUAGCAAGAUUGUAGCAAUACAAUUGUUGACGACCGGCAAACGGGUGCGGAACACGUACACAACCUUCCUACAAGUGGGGAAUAGCCCAGAGAAAUUUGGAUUAAUACCCCGUAACAUAGCGAUGUGGCAUCCAAUUGCUAUUAUAGCUUCGGCGCUAGUUGAUGGGUGUGCGGCUGAGUAUAUAGUUGGCGGGGUAACGGCCAACCAAGUCUACGAUCAGUAGCUGAUGUGAGCGCAUGAUCAGCCACACGGGCACUGAGACACGGGCCCGACUCCUACGGGAGGCAGCAGUAAGGAAUAUUGGACAAUGGACGCAAGUCUGAUCCAGCCAUGCCGCGUGAAGGAUUAAGGUCCUCUGGAUUGUAAACUUCUUUUAUAAGGGACGAAAAAAGGUCUUUCUAGAUCGUCUGACGGUACCUUAUGAAUAAGCACCGGCUAACUCCGUGCCAGCAGCCGCCGUAACAC